rnacentral:rRNA from 1 species
AGGACGAACGCUGGCGGCGUGCUUAACACAUGCAAGUCGAACGGACCGAGUUGAUAGCUUGCUAUUGAUGAGGUUAGUGGCAAACGGGUGAGUAACGCGUGAGGAACCUGCCUUGGAGUGGGGAAUAACACAGAGAAAUUUGUGCUAAUACCGCAUAAUGCAGUUGGGUCGCAUGGCUCUGACUGCCAAAGAUUUAUCGCUCUAAGAUGGCCUCGCGUCUGAUUAGCUAGUUGGUGGGGUAACGGCCCACCAAGGCGACGAUCAGUAGCCGACCUGAGAGGGUGACCGGCCACAUUGGGACUGAGACACGGCCCAAACUCCUACGGGAGGCAGCAGUGGGGAAUAUUGCACAAUGGGCGAAAGCCUGAUGCAGCGACGCCGCGUGAACGAAGAAGUAUUUCGGUAUGUAAAGUUCUAUCAGCAGGGAAGAUAAUGACGGUACCUGACUAAGAAGCACCGGCUAAAUACGUG